CCCAUAUCAACCUCCCUCGAUCUCCCGUACGUCCCCUACCAUCGUGUUGCCAUCGUCUGUGCCGCUUGCCUCGACCCCCAUUCCUGACCUCACGCUGCCCGGCGCCUCCUCCCCACACCAAGGACCUCCCCUUGCUUCGACUCUUCUUCCUAUCCGGUUAGAACCGCGACGCACGGCCUCUCGUGCUCGCCCGCGACCCUCAGCUGUGGCUAGGGUUUUGGGCUGGGAAGCGCCUUCGCCGCCGGCGCGGCUCCGGUGGACUCCGACGGCUCCUCUUUGUCUCCUCCCUCGCCCCCCACGUGCGGUUCCGCUUCCCGCUGGCCACGAGGUGCAGCCUUGGAGGGGCGCAUCGGGCUGGGCCUCCUCUGUUUUCGAUUUGGUGCAGCAGACGUUGUGGGGUUGAGGUGUUCUCCGAUGAUUUGCUUAUCUGCUUUAUAGACACCAUUGUGUGACUGAAGUUCCUGUUUUGUUUAACUCCCCCGAAAUACCAGGUCAUGAGCUUGGCCGGCGCAAGAAUAAACUUCGCAGAUACCGAGAGAUGAACAUCGCUUCAUGAACAUGGUGAAUUUAGUGACAACUAAAGUAAAUCCAUAGGCCCAGCUUUGAGUCUGUAUCAGAACUACCGCAUUCUGCAUUGUAUUGCUACAAGCUGUCAAUUAUAGCGCACAGAUCAGUACUAAGUCCAAGCCCUGAGCUCCUUGUUUUUUUUCCUCCCGAAGCACUUUGUCACUGUAACAAAAUACACCAGGUUUGACUGUUUAAGUAAGCAAGUCCUUGCUAUAGUCAUGUCUGCUGUGCACUGGCCUGCUCCUUCUACUGGGUCUGGCAUUCCAUUCUAACUACACACCUAAUAUAACAUGGUGUCGUUGCAGUGUUAUCUGUGAUUGGAGAGACAAAAAUUGUAAUGAAGGAGAUAACUCAUGGUGCCUGCAACUAUCCCCUAAAACCCGUUCGCAUCGAGGAGCUUAGGAAUAUCUGGCAGCAUGUUGUUUGGUCCGUUGAACUACAUGGAAAAUUUAUCUCUGCUGUCAACCAUCUUGGAAUUGACAAUAAGAACUUACCAGUACCUUCCUUCUCUGUAGCUACUUUUUUCUGGAGUAAUUUUGUUGCUCACUAUUCUUUCAUGUUU